UUCUCGUAUACAAGAGGCAGUGAAUCUUCCUCUGAUUUAGUGUCAUUGAAGACAUCUUCAAGGUUUUUCUACAUUGUCAUACAAAAUCCCUUCUCUCGUGGUGACAAUAGAAUAUUGUUAACAAGUGCUAACAACAUUAUCAAAAAACAGACUCAACAGACAAGGCUCCACCUUGACUGUUACUAUUCUCUCUGUUAGUUCUGUCUGUGUAUGUGUGUGUGGCAGUGGGCGAUUUCCUCGCUGAGCUGCACACCGUUUCCUGAUGAGUGGCUAAAAAAGCCCAGAAGAGGAGUGGAGCAGCACCUGGAUCUUCCAUGCAGCCGACUAGGAGGCGGGGGAGUCGGAGGAGCAGUGUAAAGGAGAUAAAUGUCGAACAGGAGAGGGGCAUGGUUGGACUGGAAGAUGCUCUUUUGCACAGACUUUCCAGCAUUAUCCCACGGACGGAUCUCCCGGUUUUGACUCUGGUUCUGCCCCCGACUUCCCCGUAUCGUCUCAGCCCUGGUUACUACCCUGCCUUUGUCCCUGGUCUCCCCGCUUCGCCUCGAUCCCGGUAAAGACCUCUGCCUGCUGUCCCUGACCUUCCCGUCUCGCCUCGAUCCCAGAAAAGACGUCUGCCUUCUGCCCCCGACUCCGAGCCUUGCUUGUGUACUCAACAAUAAAGCUGAUUACCAACUGAGCUACGUGUGUCUCGCGCUUGGGUCUAAACUGGUCCGUUACAGAUCGUCCAUUUAGACUAUGAUUGAAAUCCAAGAAGAAAUUCCAGAGUGUAUUGGAUCCUAUUUGCCUGAGGCUUGACAAACAGGUCCACCACAAUGUCCAGCGUAGUUGCCAGGAGUAGUCGGAAUUGUGUCUCCAUCUCCAUUCAUUGGGGCUUUAAAUAGUCGGGUUUUCUACUCUUUCCAUGAAGUAAUCAAAUAGUAUUAUUUCCUGUAUAAAAGAAAGUGCUGAAAUAAUUCAGGGUUGGUCUCAGAUUUCUUCUUCAUUGCAGUUACAAGUUACCCAACAUUAUAAGCCAGGUGGUCAGAAGAGUUGCAGAGACAGAGGCAAAUGCAAACUUUUCAGAGGAGCAGAAAUCUGCAGUGGCACAUCAUAUGGCCCACUCUACAGAGGUGGCCAAGUCCCACUACAGAAUGAGGACCACGGUGGAUGUCGUGGCCACCGCCAACCUCUUCAGCAGUUUGGAACGCUCUUCUUCUGAUGAGUCAGGGAAUGAGGGGACUAGUCAUAGACGGAAGAGGGCUAGAGACACAGCUGACGAGGACGUAAAGGAUUUUAGUGCGUUCCUUGAGUGCUUCCCGGUGGGAGUGACUGGCCAGCCGCCCACCAAGAAGCAAAGGACAGAUGCUGGGUUUCUGCCAGGCCGAGAUUUUUAUGACGAGUGGAGGGUGGCACAGUACAACCAGAGGCCGGAGUACCUAUUGUGUAAAUCCCAGUAUUCAAGACACCCUCCAACUGUACACAAGGUUGCAAAGAUCAUCGGGAAAGAGUGAUGAAAAGGCAACCAUCCCUGUCCUGAGGACAUUGUAGCCAAGUGGGAACCAGCCAAAAGGGUUCAGAUUGAGAGUGAUCCAGGCAUCAUCAGUAGUCAGGCCUGGCCAUCAAGGAUUUUGGCGGCAGCAAGGAGUUGUUUCCACCAAAGCCUUUCCCAAAGGCUCCAUCAUCUGCGAUUACCAUGGAAAGGUAAUCACAGCAGUGGAAGGCAGGAAACUGAUAGAGUCCAUGCAGGAUGAGAUUUGUGCUACAUCUUUUUCAUCAAGGCUGG